rnacentral:rRNA from 1 species
UACGUAGGUGGCGAGCGUUGUCCGGAUUUACUGGGCGUAAAGAGCGCGCAGGCGGUCGUUCAAGUCGCGUGUGAAAGCCUCCGGCUCAACUGGGGAGGGUCACGCGAUACUGAUCGACUCGAAGGCAGGAGAGGGAAGUGGAAUUCCCGGUGUAGUGGUGAAAUGCGUAGAUAUCGGGAGGAACACCAGUGGCGAAGGCGACUUCCUGGCCUGUUCUUGACGCUGAGGCGCGAAAGCUAGGGGAGCAAACGGG